rnacentral:rRNA from 1 species
GAUGAACGCUGGCGGCGUGCCUAAUACAUGCAAGUCGAGCGAACGGACGAGAAGCUUGCUUCUCUGAUGUUAGCGGCGGACGGGUGAGUAACACGUGGAUAACCUACCUAUAAGACUGGGAUAACUUCGGGAAACCGGAGCUAAUACCGGAUAAUAUUUUGAACCGCAUGGUUCAAAAGUGAAAGACGGUCUUGCUGUCACUUAUAGAUGGAUCCGCGCUGCAUUAGCUAGUUGGUAAGGUAACGGCUUACCAAGGCAACGAUGCAUAGCCGACCUGAGAGGGUGAGCGCCCACAUGGGAGGUGAGACACGGUCAAGCCCCCGACGGGAGGCAGAAGGAGGGAUUCGUCCGAAAUGGGAGAAAGCCGGAGGAAGCAACGCGGGGUGAGUGAAGAAGGUUUCCGGAUCGAAAAACUUUUUUAUGGGGGAAAAACAUAUGUGAAAGAAACUUUGCACAUCUGGAGGUUACAAAAAAAAAAAGCCACGGCAAACUCCGUG